GGGGAGAAAAAGUACUUGUGUGGAACAUGUCAAAAAGGGUUUGCCUUUGAUAGAGAUUUGAAACGUCAUGGAGAGACAUGUGGUGUUACUUUUAAAUGUGUUACAUGUGGAUGUCCUUUUACCAGUCCAGAAGCAGUCUUACCACAUUGUAAAAGAAAGCAACAUCAGGCACCGGAUUCAGCCAGAUCUUCUAAACGUGGAUUAAAGAAAUUAGAAAAAGACAAAAAUAAGUGUUCAGGGAAUUGUUUGGGCGAGUGGUCUAACUCAGCAUACCACUGCACUCCCCUCGCGUGUACAUGAGUAGGUUUGCCAUCUAACCUUACCGAGGAUGAAUUGUUGGAUUUCUUGAUGACAAACAUGGAGACGCAAACAACCGAAGAUUGUCUGUUUCCUGGAUUUGGUUUAUCGGAUAUUGAGACCCAAACGUCACCUGCUCCCGGAAUUGGUGGACCAACUGUGUGGGAUAUAACCAUGCUCAAAUUGAGAGAGGCAUUUGAAUGUGUUCAACUAGUACAAGUCCGGAUACAUCAUUUCUUUUAGAUUCCCUGGUGACAACAGAAACACAAACUAACCCCCAGUCAUAUAAUGAUCCGGAUUUCACCGUUUUAACUGACAUGGAAACUCAAACGACUUUUAAUACUCUUGACUUUUAUACCAACUUGACUGAUUCUCAUACCCAGACCUCAUUUUAUUAGACACUUAAAGCAUAAGUCCUAUUUGGAAGAACAAGAACUAGAGGCGAAUACUGGUGUCGGAUUUAGCUGUUCCGCUUACUAGGCCCUUCCAAUGCAUUUACCACCCACGACUAGUUGAAGAUGAAAGUGCGUUUUAAACACAAUUAAGCUAGGUCGAUGAUGAUGGCGGGCGUUAAAGAUUACAGUGCUUAUAAGAAAGACAUAAUUAUUAUAUACCUUGGUCAGAGGGCCCCUUUGCCUCAUCCUGCCAAGCGUAUACGUAAAUCGGCCGGCACUGAUGAAUACAUUAUUUUAUAACUAGAAUUCUAGAUGUGAGAGCUAAAUUAUUUUGUGUCAUGCAAGUUGUUUGUGUGGACAGAUUAGUUUGUCAAAAUAUUUAGGGUGGGAUGGGGGCAAAAUUGUCACUGUUCAGCUCAAAGCUUGAUUGCCGCUAUGACUUUACUUUGUGAUAUAAACCUAUGUAGUUGAUGUAUACUUAUGAAUUGUUUAUUAUGUUCAUGUAAUAUCGAUAUUAAAUUAUUAGAAAACUGU